AUACUUACCUGGCAGGGGAGAUACAAUGAUCACGGAAGUGGUUUUCCCAGAGCGAGGCUUAUCCAUUGCGCUCCGGAUGUGCUGAUCCCUGCUAUUUCCCCAAAUGUGGGAAACUCAACUGCAUUAUUUGUGGUAGUGGGGGAGUGUGUUUGCACUUUCCCGUG